AUUGAACGCUGGCGGCAUGCUUUACACAUGCAAGUCGAACGGUAACAGGCCUUCGGGUGCUGACGAGUGGCGAACGGGUGAGUAAUGCAUCGGAACGUGCCCAGAGGUGGGGGGUAACGCAGCGAAAGCUGUGCUAAUACCGCAUGUGAUCUGAGGAUGAAAGCGGGGGACCAAGCAGCAAUGUUUGGCCUCGCGCCUCUGGGGCGGCCGAUGUCAGAUUAGGUAGUUGGGGGGGUAAAGGCCUACCAAGCCGACGCUCUGUAGCUGGUCUGAGAGGACGACCAGGCACACUGGGAGUGAGACACGGCCCAGACUCCUACGGGAGGCAGCAGUGGGGAAUUUUGGACAAUGGGCGAAAGCCUGAUCCAGCAAUGCCGCGUGCGGGAAGAAGGCCUUCGGGUUGUAAAACGCUUUUGUACGGAACGAAAAGGCUCUGGCUAAUACCUGGGGCUGAUGACGGUACCGUAAGAAUAAGCACCGGCUAACUACGUG
rnacentral:rRNA from 1 species